rnacentral:rRNA from 1 species
GCUUAAGCACAACUAAGAUAGCUCCGCCAGAAAAUUACGAGCGAAAGCCUAAAACUCAAAAGACUUGACGGUGUCCCAAUCUCCCUAGAGGAGCCUGUUCCAUAAUCGACAACCCACGUUAUACCUAACCACUUUUAGAACACCCAGCCUAUAUACCGCCGUCACAUUUAGCCUACCUUUAAAAAGAAUAAAAAUAGGCCAAAUAGCACAACGCUAAUAAGUCAGGUCAAGGUGUAGCUUAUGAAGUGGAGGAAAUGGGCUACAUUAUUUAUAUUAAAUAUACGAAUUUUCUCCCUGAAAAAGAAAAUGAAGGCGGAUUUAGCAGUAAUUUAAACAAGAAAACUUAAAUUAACCCUGGCUCUGGGACAUGU